rnacentral:rRNA from 1 species
GACGAACGCUGGCGGCGUGCUUAACACAUGCAAGUGGUGCGACGAACCAGGGCUUGCCCUGGGGCCAAGCCGCGAACGGGUGAGUAACACGUGAGUAACCUGCCCCGAUGACCGGGACAACCCGAGGAAACUCGGGCUAAUACCGGAUGUGGCGCACAGGCGUAAGCCUGUUCACUAAAGGAAGCUUCGGCCUCCGCAUUGGGAGGGGCUCGCGGCCCAUUAGCUUGUUGGUGGGGUAACGGCCUACCAAGGCAGCGAUGGGUAGCUGGUCUGAGAGGACGAUCAGCCACACUGGGACUGAGACACGGCCCAGACUCCUACGGGUGGCAG